rnacentral:tRNA from 1 species
UCCCUGAUGGCUCAGAUGGUAAAGCAUCUGCCUGCAAUGCAGGAGACCCAGGUUCAAUUCCUGGGUCGGGAA